rnacentral:lncRNA from 1 species
GCAUUGCAACCUUAUGCCUCUCAACUUUUUCAAUAGAUGGCACCAACUGUGAAAGAGGAGAGAACAUUACUCCCUAGAAGUCUGGAGUAGCCGGAAGAAGCCGAUUAUAACUCUGAUAUUUCUCUGGAGUGUCUUUGAAGUUGUGCACCAAAGCGGGAGCCUGCGGAUGCUCCCAGUCACAGGGGGAGAAUACAAGAAACAAACAGAUAAACUGCUUUUAAGAAGACUGAGCUGGAAUUCUCUGGUGGAUUGGCAGGUUAAGGAUCCAGCGUUGUCACUGCUGUGGCAGCGGUUUGAUCCCUGGCCUGGGAACCUCUGCAUGCUGGGAACAAGGCCAAAACAAAAGAAGACUGAGUUAUCAUUACAAGUCAUACACAUGUAAGAAGAUAGUAUUUCAAUGUAGUAUAUUCCAAGUCAGUGGACAAUCUUGCUAGUGCAGAAGAGUUCGGAAGAAGAUUUAAACCCUCUAAGCGUCAAUUUCCUCAUUUGUAACACACAGUAAUGAUGCUCACAAGUUUUAUCUCAGAGGGCAUUAUAAAGUUCAAUAAGAUAAAAGAUGCCCAUUUACAAAUAAGAAAUAGCGUCAUUAAGAGAUCAGGGGCAUCUCAGAAUAUUGCAGGCCUUGAAUUCUAAGUUAGGGAAUUUAGAAUCCCUCUGGUAAACUUUAGUUUAAAAAGAUAAGCCCCUUGGUACAAUUUGGUUCAUAUUUUGAGACAGCUGGGAACAUUUUGCCACCAGACAAAAAGGCUAUUUUAAAUGUUUCAGCUCCUUUAAAGAAUAUUAAAAGGAGAAUUGAAGAAACCAGAUAAUUGCUUGCAGAGAUCAAGUGUCAGGACUGCAGUAUUUCCAAAAGAAUGAAGAAGGAGAAUGUGGUUGUAUUUUUUAGUCCUAAGUGACUUGGCAUUAUGCCAAGUGUUGAGACUAGACUAGAAGUAAAUUUUAAAAGGAGCUUCAAUGUAACUCUUGAUGGGAGGCUAAAAGCAAGUGGCCUCCAGCAUAAUCUGGAAUAAAUUCCAGCAUUAUUAAAUGAACAACACAUGGUUCAAGUCUUAUUCUGAAAAUUCAAUCAGUUACAUGUGAGGAAACCUUGACGUUUGUAGAAGCUGAGCUUUUGGGGCAUGAUAUAAAGGAAAUGGUACCUGGUGUUGAUGAUAACUAUAUUUAUUUGAUCAUUUAAAUGAGAUAUUUGAAAAUGAAGUAAGAAGAAAAGAUAUUGUUAGUAUACAGCAUUAGAAUUUGUUUAAUGGAAGCAUGUAAAUGCAAAACAAAUUCUUAUUUAAGAAGUUUCUAUAAAGCAUACCUUUUUUUUUUUUUUUAAGGGCUGCACUUGUGGCAUUUGCAAGUUCCCAGGCUAGGGGUCGAAAGCUUCCAUCCACAACCACAGCUCAUGACAACGCUGGAUCCUUAAUCUACUGAGGAAGGCCAGGGAUCAACCCUGCAUCCUCAUGGAUACUUGUUGGGUUCAUUACCCCAAGCCACAACAGGAACUCCUAAAGCAUAUCUUCUUUUGCAAAACUUUGAAAAGGCCACAAAACUUAAUGUUGGAGCCAUACACAUUUAAGUACAUUUGAACACUGAGUAGUGUAUCACAUUUUAUGUAGCAUAAACGUGAAAAAAGAAUACACCUGGAGUUCUCCUGUGGCAGAGCGAGUUAAGGAUCUGGAGUUGUCACUGCAGUGGCUCAGGUCGCUGCUCUGGUGCAGGUUAGAUCCCUGGCUCAGGAACUUACACAUGCUGCAGGUGCAGCCAAAAAAAAAAAAAGAAUACACUCUUUUGCUGGUGUAUAAAAUAACCCUGGAAGAAUACAAAACAGUCAACCUUGUUUGCCUCCAGGCUACUAUAGUAAAGAGGAGAAAUUUCUGUGUAUGCCCUUUUUUGUAUUUUUAAAAUUUGAUAUAUGUUCAUUAUAUAGUCCAAUAAACAGACAAAUCAAAUGACUGCAAAUAAAAUGGUUAUCUUUGACACAGUUUCUGGAG